rnacentral:rRNA from 1 species
UGACGGUACUUGAGGAAUAAGCCACGGCUAAUUCCGUGCCAGCAGCCGCGGUAAUACGGGAGUGGCAAGCGUUAUCCGGAAUUAUUGGGCGUAAAGCGUCCGCAGGCGGCCUUGAAAGUCUGUCGUUAAAGCGUGGAGCUUAACUCCAUUUCGGCGGUGGAAACUACAAGGCUUGAGUGUGGUAGGGGCAGAGGGAAUUCCCGGUGUAGCGGUGAAAUGCGUAGAUAUCGGGAAGAACACCAGUGGCGAAGGCGCUCUGCUGGGCCAUAACUGACGCUCAUGGACGAAAGCUA